rnacentral:rRNA from 1 species
AGAAUCAACGCUGGCGGCGUGCCUAACACAUGCAAGUCGAACGAGAAAGGGACUUCGGUCCUGAGUAUAGUGGCGCACGGGUGAGUAACACGUGAAUAAUCUACCUCCGAGUGGGGAAUAACCUGGAGAAAUCUAGGCUAAUACCGCAUAACACUUACGAGUCAAAGCAGAAAUGCGCUUGGAGAGGAGUUCGCGGCAGAUUAGUUAGUUGGCGGGGUAAUGGCCCACCAAGACGAUGAUCUGUAUCCGGCCUGAGAGGGCGCACGGACACACUGGAACUGAAACACGGUCCAGACUCCUACGGGAGGCAGCAGUGGGGAAUUUUGCGCAAUGGGGAAACCCUGACGCAGCAACGCCGCGUGGAGGAUGAAGUAUCUUGGUACGUAAACUCCUUUCGAUGGGGAAGAUAAUGACGGUACCAUAGAAGAAGCCCGGCUAACUUCGCGCCAGCAGCCGC